GCAAAAGGCGAUAGAGAGAGUGUCAGAGCGCUGUUGCGCUAGUCCGAAUGGGGACUUUUAUUAUGAAGCGCGCUCAUCGCGCAUAGCCGGAAGAGACACUGUUCAUGACUCUGAGAUCGGCAGACCGCCUCAGCUGCUGCUAGCGAUCAGGUUUCUGCAUAAAUAAGUGCUGGAGAUGUGCAUCAUCAUCCACAUAUGUCUUAGUUUGAAUGUAUCUUGUGAUGUGUGCGUCCUAUACGAGUGAGUACAUAUAACCGUUGCUUGAUUGCUUGUCAAUGAUGACGCAGUUAUUAGCUGUCUGAUAGUGUGUGAUAAUGCUAUUAUCUACAGCUAUUCUUGCACUUAUGUUUAUUUACAAAGUUCAGCAUUAUAAUGUUAUUAUGUUAUGAGUCAUGUGGAUAAAUAAUGACCAUGAAUGCACUGUCUUACAAAGUGUUUAUUAAUCAUUGUUACUGUAAAGGGGAGCAGCCUAUAGUUGUGUAUGUAAAAUACUUGUAAGAGUGGUUCCAUUUAUAUACAUAUUGCUUUAUUUCUUUCAGAGAAACCACACCUUCAUCGCAGUCAUACAUUUCAUGCUUCAUCUGAUAAGCACCUAGCUUUCACAAGGAGACCAGAUUAUUUAAAGACUGUGCUUAAGUUUCGCCUCUAACUGGCUCACGCCUCCAGUCAUUCUCAGCAACUUGUGUCUGCUCAUCUGCAGUAGCCUCAGAGCUCAUCGCUGUCAAACCUUAUCCACUGGGUGGUCACUGCGGUCCUCAAGCUUUUGGUCCACAUCUUGUUAGUGGACACGGUCUGAUGUGCAUGUAAAGGCUGACUCCCCCUCUGAGUUGAUCAUACUAUAUCUGUGAAAAUAAACCUGUUCAAACUGAUACUUCCCUCUGUGGUGUUCUGACCGACACACCUGGUUCGCUGCGAUUCAAACUAGCCCUAACAGUAUCUGGUAGAUCUUCGCUACAUUUGUGGUCCUUCGAGCCGGAUCGCAGUUGUGCUAGGACUAUGCAACAGAGUGAUGAAGCAUCGUGGGCCCCCUCCACUCGGCCCAGACGUCAGUUAAAACAGCCAUCCUAUUUGAAGGAUUAUGAGGUCAGUGCUGUGCGACCAAAGAUACGUGGUCCAUCACGGGUCAGCCCAGCAGUAAAUCCAUCUAGGGAGGAGAAUCGGAGCUCACAGCCUCAUGUAAAGUGGAGUCAACCCCCCCUGGCACCUGACAGUUAUUCCCCAAUCUUUGAGGAGAGCUAUGAGGACAGAAGCCUAGGAUGGCCACAUACCACUAUGUCCUACACUGAAGGAGCUGAGGCAAGCGGGCAACACAGAGAAGGCCUGCAGUACAGUUCUGCCUCACUUUAUGACUCUACAAGGGAACUGCUUGAACCAUCUGCCUCAGCCAGAGAGCAAGGUGCAGCACAGUGCGUUCAAUCCUUUGAGCGGUGGCCGAUGCCUCCCCUUCCGGUACCAGAUGACUCUUUAGUGCCAGAGGAAGAGGAGGGUGAUGGGGAGCUGCCCCCUCCGCCAUGGCCUUCUUCUGACUAUCCUCCAGGGCCAGCAGCUGUUGAGGAGCAGCGAGUCGUCAUUGUCAUAGACCGGAUGAUGAGUGAGUUACAGCUUAUGAGGGAUAGUGUGACAUCCAGCAUCACAGCCCGCACUCGUCCACAUUCGACCGAUCGAAGCCUGAACCCCCCUCAGCCUAUACGAGGUCCUGCACAGUAUGAUGUCUUGUCUUCAACCCCCAGAGCAGGGCCAUGUUCACCCAUAUCGCGUCCACAACCCAGUAUGUAUCCUACCAAUGGGAGAUCCUCAACUCAGCAUCCAGUUAGGCCUGAUAUGAGCCAUCCGCAUGCUACCAGAGGCAGCCAGCUCUCGUCAGAAUCUGUGAAUCAGGGAAGAGGACCGUAUAUAGGGCCUGCACCAAAGAUUCCUCUGUUUAUCCAUAACGACCCGAUGGAGUUUUCUCGGCUAAAAUUAGCUCUGUCAAACCUGCUACCCACAGAUGCUUCAGAGCUUUUCAAGUAUCAGAUACUUGUUGAUCACGUGAAACUUGAAGAGGCCUGUCUCAUUGCUGACUCCUUCAUUAACUCACCAAGGCCAUACACGGACACCAUGGCAGCCUUGACUGAGAAGUUUGGCCAACCGCACCACGUAGCCUUGAAGCGGAUUGCUGCAGUGAUGGAUUCACCUGAGAUUAGGAGGGGAGAUAUAGUAGCCUUCGAGAAAUUCUCUCUGCAUGUACAGUCACUUGUAGGUAUGCUGCAGACAUUAGGCCCAGACGGAGAAGUCGAACUGAGAUGCGGCUCUCAUGUGGCUCGUCUCCUUACAAAGCUUCCAAUUGAGAUGAGAGCGAACUUCAGGCGUAUGAUGUUCCACCGUCCUGGACACACUCAUACGCUGCUCGACCUGGCAGAAUGGCUUCGAUACGAGUCAUGGUGUCAAGGAUACGACAACCCAUCUGACAUCCGUACCCCAGGUCUGUCUGGCUACCGAGCUGAGAAGCGUCGCAGCAAGCCCGUAGCUACAGUCCUACAUGGGGCUGAGAGCCAUAAGUCAAACCAAGCAACUGGACAAGAAGGUCAGAGUUCAUCCGCGGUGAAAUGGAAAGGCAAAGUGAAACCCUACUGUCCAUAUUGCGAGGGUACAGAGCACUUCCUCAAUAAGUGUUCAGCUCUUCAGAAACUCACCCGAGAGGAGGUCAUAGAGUGGAUCAAAGUCAACAAGAGAUGUUGGAGAUGUGGGAGAGCACAUCAAGCAGCACAAUGUGACCUCAAGAAGCUCUGUAAUGUGUGCCAAGGAAAGCAUCUAAGAGUACUGCAUGACGUCAACACACGCCCCAAUGCUGAGCAACCAAAAGCUGAAAGCUGUCUUGUAAGCACCAGUACAGAAGUUCUUUACCUAGACAGACCAUCGUCACAUACCCGAGUUCUGUUGAAAGUCGUCAGAGUUCUCCUACGAAACAGAGACCGGAUACUAGACACUUACGCAAUUUUGGACGAUGGAUCGGAGCGGACAAUGCUCCUCCCUGAGGCAGUUGAAAAACUGGGCCUACAUAAGAAGCCUGAAGAUCUAGCUCUCCGCACUAUUCGACAGGAAGUUCAAACCCUGAAGGGAGCCGCUGUUUCAUUCAGAAUCUCAUCCACAACUAAUCCUAAGAGAACCUUCCGAAUAGUGGAGGCCUUCACCUCGCAACGCUUGGGUCUAGCAGACCACACCUACCCUGUCACCAAUCUAAAGAAGAGGUACAAGCACCUGGCAGACCUCCCGAUUGAGCCAUUUCAACAUGUCAAGCCGCUCGUGCUGAUUGGUGCAGACUACCCUCAUCUACUUACCCCGGUGGAGCCAGUCAGACUUGGUCCUCCUGGAGGUCCGGCGGCCAUUCACACAAGGCUGGGAUGGACGCUCCAAGGACCUGCCCAUCUUAUCCAGUGGGCCCCAAAUAUCCAGCAGUGUCUCCUCACUGGUGUCUCAUCUCCGGCGACAGAGCUGAUGCAGAACGUAGAGAAGCUCUGGAAGAUGGACAUCCUGCCAUACCAGAGUAGCAAACUGGCUGUGAGAUCAAAACAGGAUAAGGAAGCGCUGGAGCACUUGGAGGCCAGAACGGAGCGAGUGCAAGUUGCAGGCAUCCUUAGAUAUGCCACGCCCCUGCUAAGGAAACAAGGCAUACUCCCACUCAGAUCUCCCAAAGAAGCCGUCCUACCCAGCCUCAGGAGUCUGGAGAGACGCUUGGCCCGAGAUCCUCUACAAGCUGAAGAGUACUGUGCAGCGAUUCGGAAGUUGGUGGAAGCAGGAGCUGUCAGGAGGAUUGACCCAGGCGAAGCCUCAACCACCAAUGAGUCAUGGUACAUACCACAUCACUUGGUAAAUCAUAACGGGAAGAGUCGUUUAGUCUUCAACUGCUCCUUCCAAUUCCAAGGCCGAAGCCUCAAUGACACCCUCCUUCCUGGACCAACACUGGGAGCCUCUCUUCUGGGAGUUUUAUUACGUUUCAGGGAACAUGCGGUGGCGGUUAGUGGAGACAUCAGAGGCAUGUUCCACCAGGUUCGGCUCUUACCAGAAGAUCAGCCGCUCCUCAGGUUCAUUUGGAGGGACAUGAAACGCGAUAACCCCCCUGAAGUCUUCCAGUGGCAGGUGCUACCAUUUGGCACUGCGUGCUCACCGUGCUGUGCCACCUUCGCCCUCCAGAGGCAUGCUAGAGAUCAUGGCGGAUCAGGUGAAGAAAUCCAGCAUUCGGUGGAGCGCUGUUUUUAUGUGGAUAAUUGCCUCCAGAGUGUGCACACCGCGAAUGAGGCCAAAGAACUGGUGGACCGACUCAGAGAGGUACUAGCAUCUGGAGGAUUUGAGCUCAGACAGUGGGCCUGCAACAUACCUGAUGUGCUCCGACAUCUACCUGCAGAGGCAAGAUCCGACAGCACAGAGCAAUGGCUUUCCCAUGAUGAACCUGACCAGUUGGAACCAGCCCUCGGACUCAGCUGGAAUUGGAGAUUAGACGUGUUAGGUUACAAGAGCCGACCUCUGGACUAUGAGGCACUGACGAUGAGAAAUGUCUAUAAGGUACUGGCCCGACAAUAUGACCCCCUGGGAUUCAUUGCACCUUACACGACUCGCGCAAAGCUCAUCGUCCAGAGCAUGUGGGACAAGCCUCGUGACUGGGAUGACCCAUGUAUCCCUCAAGACCUGCAAAAGGCAUGGAAGGAAUGGGAAUCCGAGUUACACCUGCUACCAAGCAUCUUGGUACCCCGACCCUAUGCUCCAGGUCUUACGGAGGAAAUGGUUGUUUCCAGGCAGAUCCACGUGUUCAGUGAUGCCUCCGAAAGGGUUUAUGGCUCAGUCUCCUACCUUAGGACAGAAGAUGUUCAGGGACGAGUCUAUCUAGCCUUCCUGGCAGCUAGGUCCAGGGUAGCACCCCGGCGGCAACUUUCCAUUCCCCGCCUCGAGCUUUGCGGUGCAUUGACCGCUGCCCAGUUGUCAAAGACAAUCCAGAGGGAACUGACAGUGAAGACCGAUAAGACAGUAAUUUGGAGUGACUCAACGACCGUGUUAUCCUGGUUGCAGUCGGAGUCGUGCCGCUUCAAGGUCUUCGUAGGCACUCGUGUGGCGGAGAUCCAAGAGCUUACGGCGGAGAGUACCUGGCGCUAUGUUGACUCCUCACAGAACCCGGCGGAUGAUGUCACCCGUGGAAAGACCUUGGCAGAAUUAGCUGUACCUAAUCGCUGGAGCCAAGGGCCAUCUUUCCUCCAAAAGGGACCUGCUGAAUGGCCAUCCUCACCUAAAGAGAUCACAGAACAGGAUAUCACAGAGUAUAAGAAGGUGGCUUCAUGUGGAGUGAUAUCGAGGGCUGACAGAAAGGAGAGUUACCUGUCCUGGAAGGAUAUGGUUGAGGGUACAGCGCAGGAAGUGCAUGGGACGGUAAACCAAGGUGAGCCCUUGACUGCAGAGGACUAUUGUCAGGCAGAGAAGAAAAUCUUUCAGAAAAUUCAAUCGGAAUGCUUUCCAGUAGAGUUGCGCCAUCUUAAAGCCGGGAAAGAUGUACUUCGAAGUAGCCGUCUCCUUACCCUAUCCCCAGAACUGGACCCUGAUGAGGGAAUUAUACGGGUGGGGGGGAGACUUCGACGGACCGAAGGGUUAGACCCUGCCUUUAAACAUCCCAUUGUCUUGGACCCCUCGCAUCCCGCAACGAAGCUUCUUAUCCAAGACUGUGAUGCUCGGCUCUGUCAUCCGGGCCCAGAGCGAGUAUUCGCAGAGAUGCGCAGGACGUUUUGGAUCCUCCGUGGAAGGGAGGCCAUCAGGAGGGUGCAAACCCAAUGUCAGGAGUGCCGGCGAUGGAAAUCUAAGCCGUCGGUCCCAAAGAUGGCUGAUCUACCUGUGGCACGUCUUCGUCUAUACAAGCCGGCGUUCUACUCCACUGGUGUCGAUUGUUUCGGACCUCUACAAGUGAAGAUAGGACGACGUUCAGAGAAAAGGUGGGGCAUUAUUUAUAAAUGCCUUACCACUCGGGCAGUGCACCUGGACCUCCUGCAUGCUAUGGAUUCUGACUCCUUCUUAAUGAGCCUCAGACGUUUCAUUGCACGUCGUGGGAGUCCAGCAGAGCUCUAUUCAGACCAGGGCACAAACUUUAAAGGAGGUGAGAAAGAGCUCAGUGAUUGGUUCAAUCGCAUGUCUUCUGACCUCAAACAACUACUCGCCAAGCAGAAGAUUUAUUUUCGCUUCAAUCCCCCAGCAGCUCCCCACUUCGGGGGUACAUGGGAGAGGGAGAUCAAGUCUGUUAAGACCGCCCUGUAUACUGUCAUUGGAGUCCAACCGGUCUCUGAGGAAGUAUUGCUUACAGUGCUUCUAGAGGUCGAGGCUAUAUUGAACUCAAAACCCCUGGGUUACACCUCCUCCAGUGUUGCUGACUUGGAUGCUGUGACUCCAAAUGUCUUCUUGAUGGGGCGGCUGGAUGGUGCGUUACCUCCGGUGGUGUACCCUAAGAGUGAGGGACUGAGCCGACGAAGAUGGCGACACUGCCAAGUCUUAGCAGAUCACUUCUGGGCGAGAUUCAUCAGGUGCUACCUGCCAACCCUUCAAUGCCGACAGAAGUGGCAUGGUACCACAGCUGAUCUGACAGUGGGUUCUGUAGUCCUGUUGAUGGACCCCCAGUUUCCGCGGGCACUCUGGCCAGUUGGUAGAGUGGUUAAAGUACAUCCAAGUGGGGAUGGGCAUGUACGAUCUGUAGACGUACAGGUUAAAGACAAAGUCUACACCCGGCCCGUUGCUCGGCUUAUUACUUUGCCAGUCAUACCGGAUGCUGGGGAGGAUGAAGAAUGCCGGUCAACGACUCCAGAUUAAGGAUACGCCUUUUACAGGAGCAAAUUGCACACAAUUUGGGGGCGGCUGUGCAAAAGGCGAUAGAGAGAGUGUCAGAGCGCUGUUGCGCUAGUCCGAAUGGGGACUUUUAUUAUGAAGCGCGCUCAUCGCGCAUAGCCGGAAGAGACACUGUUCAUGACUCUGAGAUCGGCAGACCGCCUCAGCUGCUGCUAGCGAUCAGGUUUCUGCAUAAAUAAGUGCUGGAGAUGUGCAUCAUCAUCCACAUAUGUCUUAGUUUGAAUGUAUCUUGUGAUGUGUGCGUCCUAUACGAAGAAACCACACCUUCAUCGCAGUCAUACAUUUCAUGCUUCAUCUGAUAAGCACCUAGCUUUCACAAGGAGACCAGAUUAUUUAAAGACUGUGCUUAAGUUUCGCCUCUAACUGGCUCACGCCUCCAGUCAUUCUCAGCAACUUGUGUCUGCUCAUCUGCAGUAGCCUCAGAGCUCAUCGCUGUCAAACCUUAUCCACUGGGUGGUCACUGCGGUCCUCAAGCUUUUGGUCCACAUCUUGUUAGUGGACACGGUCUGAUGUGCAUGUAAAGGCUGACUCCCCCUCUGAGUUGAUCAUACUAUAUCUGUGAAAAUAAACCUGUUCAAACUGA